rnacentral:lncRNA from 1 species
UAGGAUGGUCUGGGUUGGAAGGGACCUUAAAGCUCACCUUGUUCCAACCCCCUGCCAUGGGAAGGGACACCUCCCCCCAGACCAGGUUGCCCAAAGCCCCAUCCAGCCUGGCCUUGAGCACCUCCAGGGAUGGGGCCUACCAUUAGUCUCUGCGUUGGUCAAGGGUUUUCUACGGGUCCUUGCAGCAGUAGGUCCUUCUCCCCUGUUCUCUCCUGGCAGGUAUCUUCAGGGCCACCUAAUGUUCAUGCCUACGAACCCACCAGAGCUGCUCACCCAUUCUCUUCCCUGCACGAUGGGGGUGUUCUCCGUGGGUAGUGCCAACACUGAAAAGUCACCCUCGCCUCAACAGCUUGGCAUGGGCACUCGUGCUCUGCAGGCUUUCCUUUGAAGACCUGCGGUUAUCGGUAAACAAUUCUCCCUAGCAGGUCACAGAGAAUAGCACUCCAAAGUUUAUCUGGAGUGAAAAAUUAUCUGACAGAUCUUCUGCAUCUGGUUUUGAGAGCUAAUUCGUAAUUAUGUGUAGUUCCCCAAGCUCGCUGAAAUAUUUGCACUUAUACUUUGAAGUGUUCAGCAUGACCGGGUUUAUUAUUUACAGUUAUUUGAAGGUGUUUCUUUAUUUAUGUCUUUAGAGGCUGGAAGGAGGAGUAUUUUUUUUUCAAGUAAUUAUGUGCAAAUAUACAUGUAUUGUGUGUACAAGGACAGGUAAGUAACUUUUCAAAAGAAAUACCCUACAACUUGUAGGGACUGCGUUGUAACAGCUCCCAGGUCUGAAGCUCCAGCAGCAAGGAGCAGGAGGGGAAGGAGAUGAAUUCUUGAAGAGGUUGCAAGAGGUAAUCCCUAAAAAUCCUCUGAUACCUGGGUGCAAUAUUGGGCAGAGAAUAAAGAUUCCCUUGAAGAGCUAAUCAGCUGGAGUCCUCAAGGAGGAAGGAAGGGAAAGAAGAACGGAAAAAGAGAAAAAAAAAAGAAGAAAAAGGAUGCAUCAAAGUAGGUGGGUAUGUGUAUGCAGGCUGUGUAUUUAGUGAAGCAAACAUAUUGCAUAAUUACUACUUGGGAAGAAAUCCUUAAAUUGUUACUUCCUGUCCAAUGCGGCUUUCACUCUUUAACUUGGUGUUUCUUAAAAAUUGGCGAGAUCCCGUGUAAUCCUCUUACUGCUGCUGUUAGGAGCAGCAAGAGAGAUGAUCUCCAGCUUCAGCCCGGUGCCGCGCUCCAGCCGCACGGCUGGAACACUGCCAGAUGUGGGGAACGUGCUCUCUUCACAGGACACGGUGGCCUGACUGAUGCUGAAAGAGAGGCUGGAACUUGCAGAAGACGUGUAGGUACGGCACGAUCUAUUCAACGUCUUGAAGGUGAAGCAGUUUUCCUGUACCGACGUGAAAAGAAAACACGGACAGAGGCUUGCAGCCCAUGA